rnacentral:tRNA from 2 species
AGUUACGUGGCCGAGUGGUAAGGCAAAGGUUUGCAAGACCUUUCACGGCAGUUCGAACCUGCCCGUAACUG